AAUAAAUAAUAAAAUAGAAUAGCUUAAAAACACUAGUAACUUAAAAUUGAGAAAAUGUAAAAAGUGUAGUGGCCAAUAGUAUGGGAACUGUUGAUCACAGCCUAAACCUCUGAUUGACCACCUGAGACAAGCAAUGAGUCAGCUGCAGGAGCACAGGUGAAGAUAAUUCACCUGUGCUACCGGAAGGGGUGGAGCCUGGCCCCACCUCUCCUGGAUCCCAUUUAAGUGCUGACUGCUGCCUUAGGUAGGUUCUCUUUCCAGAGGUCACUCUUUUGUGGAAUUUAUUGUGAGUCUACAACAUUGGCAGUCUUAGUUCUAAUGCCUGAGGACAGGAGCAGAACUGAAUCCUUGGAUUUGCUGCCUUUCUGGAGAGACAUGAAUCUUGUGUUGAUUCUCCAGAAGAAGACUACAUAUGACAGAACCACAUGAAAAAAUUCAGGGCAUACAUUAAGAGACCAUAAAAGACCAUUCAGAAAUCCGUGGCUGCUGAGGAAGAAAGAUGCUACUGAACUUGCUUUCAGUAACAAUUUUCUGACAUCGGGGAACAAUACAUAAGCUAAUUCUGUUAUUUGUAUGUCCCAUAAUAUGAAAUAAGAUAGCAAAGAGGUCCAUAUGCUGUCUCAGUAUUGUAGUUUCAGUAAGUAAUUGAUACAUGAAAGCUUCUGUUUUUCAGAUAUAAGUCAUUUCCCAUAUCAAUUGUUUUAUAGUUUUUAUAGCGACACUGAAUUGUUCAUUGUCAUUGACACAAAAGAUGUGUUCAAAAUUGUACAGGAAUAUCAAGAUAUAUCUUUUGCAAAUGAAAAAAUAUAUCUGCACAUAUUUUUCUCUGCAUGGAUUAAAAGAGCUUUGUGAGUAGUCCCUGAAAACUUGGUUAAACCAAUAUGAACUGAAGCUAAUAUAUUUUUUCAGCACCACUUAAUUAGUUCAGCUGACUUCGCAGCUCAAGUUGAUUCCAAAAUGUCAGCAGA